CCUGAAAGUGUAAACAAGAGGAUGUUAGUCUGAGGAGCCUUGGGCGAUUUUGGCUUGGAGUUAAAUGUCGAUCUUUUUGCGGGAGACAGGCCAUUGUCUAAUUGGCGGAAACCGAAGCAAUUCAUGAUCAGCUUGAUCGGAGGAAGGUUCAGCCACCCUUCGAAAUAGUGGACUUCCCGACUCAAUGCCAGCCUCUCUAGCCGACAGUGGUGCUUUGCCUUCUGGUCGAGGGCCCCUUCAUCUUGGAAGGGAUUCUUUGGGGCCGACGACGGCCCGUUUCCAUGAUGUUUUAGUCUUUACCAACGACAAUGAAUCAUAACACCUUUGUUCAGGCAAUCGUUCUAGAAUGUUUUACAUAGUGUGGAGCUAUCCUCCGAAUAUCUAUGGAAUAGUUUCUUGUGAACUCAA